AACGCACAUUGCGCCCUUUGGUAUUCCGAAGGGCAUGCCUGUUCGAGCGUCAUUAUCACCUCUCAAGCCUGGCUUGCUGUUGGACUUUAGGGUCUUGCUUCGGCAUGACCGGUCCCAAAGAUAAUGACGGCGUCUGUGAGGACCCCUGUACAUUGAGCUUUUAUUAGCACGUAUCAGGUGGAAGUCCAGGCCCGGUCUUAACUAUAUUUUAACAAGGUUGACCUCGGAUCAGGUAGGAAUACCCGCUGAACUUAA
rnacentral:misc_RNA from 1 species